CUGGCCUCACCUGCUCCCAAGACUUCCUGCCAUGGCAGGACUGAGGUCAGGUGUGGGGGCCCCUGGCUGGCCCUGAGUAGACAGGCUCUGUGUCUGCCUCAGCCUCCAGGACCACUGGCUGCCCAUGAGAGACGAAGGAUGGCAUCCAAGGGGGCCGGCGUGUCUUUCUCCCGCAAGAGCUGUAGGCUGACCUCAGAUGCUGAGAAAUCCAGGGUCACAGGCAUUGUGCAGGAGAAGCUGCUGAAUGACUACCUGAACCGCAUCUUUCCUCUUCUGACCAUGCACCCCCAGCA
rnacentral:lncRNA from 1 species